GACGAACGCUGGCGGCGUGCUUAACACAUGCAAGUCGAACGGAAAGGCCCUGCUUUUGUGGGGUGCUCGAGUGGCGAACGGGUGAGUAACACGUGAGUAACCUGCCCUUGACUUUGGGAUAACUUCAGGAAACUGGGGCUAAUACCGGAUAGGAGCUCCUGCUGCAUGGUGGGGGUUGGAAAGUUUCGGCGGUUGGGGAUGGACUCGCGGCUUAUCGGCUUGUUGGUGGGGUAGUGGCUUACCAAGGCUUUGACGGGUAGCCGGCCUGAGAGGGUGACCGGCCACAUUGGGACUGAGAUACGGCCCAGACUCCUACGGGAGGCAGCAGUGGGGAAUAUUGCACAAUGGGCGGAAGCCCGAUGCAGCAACGCCGCGUGCGGGAUGACGGCCUUCGGGUUGUAAACCGCCUUCGCCUGUGACGAAGCGUGAGUGACGGUAAUGGGUAAAGAAGCACCGGCUAACUACGUG
rnacentral:rRNA from 1 species